rnacentral:rRNA from 1 species
UACGAAGGGGCUAGCGUUGCUCGGAAUCACUGGGCGUAAAGCGCACGUAGGCGGAUUGCUAAGUCAGGGGUGAAAUCCUGGAGCUCAACUCCAGAACUGCCUUUGAUACUGGCGACCUUGAGUCCGGGAGAGGUGAGUGGAACUGCGAGUGUAGAGGUGAAAUUCGUAGAUAUUGGCUGGAACACCGGUGGCGAAAGCGGCUCUCUGGCCCGGUUCUGACGCUGAGGCGCGAAAGCGUGGGGAGCAAACAGG